rnacentral:rRNA from 1 species
UGGGGAAUAUUGGACAAUGGGCGAAAGCCUGAUCCAGCCAUGCCGCGUGUGUGAAGAAGGUCUUCGGAUUGUAAAGCACUUUAAGUUGGGAGGAAGGGCCAUUACCUAAUACGUGAUGGUUUUGACGUUACCGACAGAAUAAGCACCGGCUAACUCUGUGCCAGCAGCCGCGGUAAUACAGAGGGUGCAAGCGUUAAUCGGAAUUACUGGGCGUAAAGCGCGCGUAGGUGGUUUGUCAAGUUGGAUGUGAAAUCCCCGGGCUCAACCUGGGAACUGCAUUCAAAACUGACUGACUAGAGUAUGGUAGAGGGUGGUGGAAUUUCCUGUGUAGCGGUGAAAUGCGUAGAUAUAGGAAGGAACACCAGUGGCGAAGGCGACCACCUGGACUGAUACUGACACUGAGGUGCGAAAGCGUGGGGAGCAAACAGGAUUAGAUACCCGAGUAGUCCCUGAGCGGGCUGGCAAGGCGCAU